GACGAACGCUGGCGGCGUGCUUAACACAUGCAAGUCGAACGGAAAGGCCCUGCUUUUGUGGGGUUCUCGAGUGGCGAACGGGUGAGUAACACGUGAGUAACCUGCCCUUGACUUUGGGAUAACUUCAGGAAACUGGGGCUAAUACCGGAUAGGAGCUCCUGCUGCAUGUUGGGGGUUGGAAAGUUUCGGCGGUUGGGGAUGGACUCGCGGCUUAUCCGCUUGAUGGUGGGGUAGUGGCUUACCAAGGCUUUGACGGGUAGCCGGCCUGGGAGGGUGACCGGCCACAUUGGGACUGAGAUACGGACCAGACUCCAACGGGAGGCAGCAGUGGGGAAUAUUGCACAAUGGGCGGAAGCCUGAUGCAGCAACGCCGCGUGCGGGAUGACGGCCUUCGGGUUGUAAACAGCUGUCGCCUGUGACGAAGCGUGAGUGACGGUAAUGGGUAAAGAAGCACCGGCUAACUACGUG
rnacentral:rRNA from 1 species